AAACACAGUGGCUAUUACUACAUUUAAAAUACACUUCACAUCUACGGCAGUACCUUAGCCCCUUCUGAUAUGGGUUUUGCACCCUACCUCCAUCUGGGACUAAUCUAAUGCACAGGUUCUUGCAUGUCAAUAUUCUUGAGGUCACAUAUGCCCGUUUAUAACAGGGCAGGCACUAUGGGGAGAGGGAGGGUAAGCCAAGAUAGUUUGUGAUAUAUAUCAAAUAUAUGCCCUCUAUCAUUAGGAAACAGUAGCAAUGGCUGUUACCAUCCUUGUGGCUUUUGCGUCGGCUGGAGUUUUGAGUGGCAUAGUC
rnacentral:misc_RNA from 1 species